AGAGUUUGAUCAUGGCUCAGGACGAACGCUGACGGUGUGCUUUAGACAUGCAAGUCGAACGCGAAAGGGGCUUCGGCCCUGAGUAGAGUGGCAAACGGGUGAGUAACACGUGGGUGACCUACCUUCAAGUGGGGGAUAACGUUCCGAAAGGAACGCUAAUACCGCAUAUUGUCCCGCCUUUAGACAGGCGACGAUGAAAGCCGGGGAUCGCAAGACCUGGCGCUAGGAGAGGGGCCCGCGUCCGAUUAGCUAGUUGGUGGGGUAAUGGCUCACCAAGGCGACGAUCGGUAGCCGGCCUGAGAGGGCGGACGGCCACACUGGCACUGAGACACUGGCCCGACUCCUACGGGAGGCUGCAGUCGAGGAUCUUCGGCAAUGGGCGCAAGCCUGACCGAGCGACGCCGCGUGUGCGAUGAAGGCCUUCGGGUUGUAAACCUCUUUCACCCAUGACGAAGCGAAAGUGACGGUAGUGGGAGAAGAAGCACCGGCCAACUACGUGCCAGCAGCCGCGGUAAUACGUAGGGUGCAAGCGUUGUCCGGAAUUAUUGGGCGUAAAGGGCUCGUAGGCGGUUUGUCGCGUCGGGAGUGAAAACUCAGGGCUUAACCCUGAGCCUGCUUCCGAUACGGGCAGACUAGAGGUAUGCAGGGGAGAAUGGAAUUCCUGGUGUAGCGGUGAAAUGCGCAGAUAUCAGGAGGAACACCGGUGGCGAAGGCGGUUCUCUGGGCAUUACCUGACGCUGAGGAGCGAAAGUGUGGGGAGCGAACAGGAUUAGAUACCCCGGUAGUCC
rnacentral:rRNA from 1 species